GACACGACGUAAAAAUUGUACAUUCGGACUUUUGAGAGCAUGAUGGGUUAUAACACUCAAAAUUGAAAACUUGAAUUCGAACGAAAAGAAACAAAAUAGAUGACACUGAAGAUUGAGCUUAACCACAUCAUUUUUCUAUUUUAUGGAUUCCGAGAUAUACACAAUUUAUUUGGAUAUCAAUGACGAGCCUUUCUUCGCCAAAACUGGACUAUCAAAAUGAAAAUAUCUCCAAUUCAACUGUGGAAUCAGAGUUGCCAGAUACUGAGGAGGGGAAGUCGCCAGGUGGAUGAGGUGGGGGCGCCUGAGAGCGCCAAACGAAUUUCGAAAAGCGCCAUUAACG